GAGCCGCCCCUCCAGUCGCCCGCGCUGCCACCAGCUCGUUCCUGACGAACUAAAGCCCCGCAUCGUGCUGUCUCUGCAGGUUGUUCCUGCAUUUUUUUGGGUUUCCUGUAGAACGUCCGAAGGAUUACUAAUAGAAAGCCUCGGUGUUCUUUUAUUUCACAAGCUUGUUGCUAGCCUAGCUGGUAGCCGAUCCGUGCCUGGACCAUGAGGUCUCUGGUUCAAAUCCCAGCCGCGCCAUGCAUAGUUUCGUUAAUUUUUUUGGUCAGAUUAGCUGUAGGUUGUGCUUC
rnacentral:lncRNA from 1 species